GAUGAACGCUGGCGGCGUGCCUAAUACAUGCAAGUCGAGCGAACAGAUGAGGAGCUUGCUCCUCUGACGUUAGCGGCGGACGGGUGAGUAAAACGUGGAUAACCUACCUAUAAGACUGGGAUAACUUCGGGAAACCGGAGCUAAUACCGGAUAAUAUAUUGAACCGCAUGGUUCAAUAGUGAAAGACGGUUUUGCUGUCACUUAUAGAUGGAUCCGCGCCGCAUUAGCUAGUUGGUAAGGUAACGGCUUACCAAGGCAACGAUGCGUAGCCGACCUGAGAGGGUGAUCGGCCACACUGGAACUGAGACACGGUCCAGACUCCUACGGGAGGCAGCAGUAGGGAAUCUUCCGCAAUGGGCGAAAGCCUGACGGAGCAACGCCGCGUGAGUGAUGAAGGUCUUCGGAUCGUAAAACUCUGUUAUUAGGGAAGAACAAGUUUGUAAGUAACUAUGCACGUCUUGACGGUACCUAAUCAGAAAGCCACGGCUAACUACGUG
rnacentral:rRNA from 1 species